rnacentral:piRNA from 1 species
UCUACAUUGGUAUUCACCAUCACAGGUUAC